AUUGAACGCUGGCGGCAAGCCUAACACAUGCAAGUCGAACGAGUGGCGGACGGGUGAGUAAUGUCUGGGAAACUGCCUGAUGGAGGGGGAUAACUACUGGAAACGGUAGCUAAUACCGCAUACCAUCGGAUGUGCCCAGAUGGGAUUAGCUAGUAGGUGGGGUAACGGCUCACCUAGGCGACGAUCCCUAGCUGGUCUGAGAGGAUGACCAGCGACACUGGAACGGAGAUCCGGUCCGGACGCCUAGGGGAGGCAGCAGUGGGGAAUGUUGCACAAUGGGCGAAAGCCUGAGGCAGCCAUGGCGCGUGUAUGAAGAAGGCCGUCGGGUUGUAAAGUACUUUCAGCGGGGAGGCGUUACCCGCAGAAGAAGCACCGGCUAACUCCGUGCCAGCAGCCGCGGUAAUAC
rnacentral:rRNA from 1 species